rnacentral:rRNA from 1 species
UGCGUAGGCGGAAUAUUAAUUCAGUGGUGAAAUCCUGCGGCUCAACCGUAGAACUGCCAUUGAUACUGAUAUUCUUGAAUGUAGUUGAGGUAGGCGGAAUGUGUAAUGUAGCGGUGAAAUGCUUAGAUAUUACACAGAACACCGAUUGCGAAGGCAGCUUACUAAACUAUGAUUGACGCUGAGGCACGAAAGCGUGGGGAGCGAACAGGAUUAGAUACCCUGGUAGUCC